AUUGAACGCUGGCGGCAGGCUUAACACAUGCAAGUCGAGCGAGCCGCGCACGGGUGAGUUGUGUCUGGGAAUCUGCGUGAUGGGGGGGUAAAACUUCUGGAAAGGGUCGCUAAUACCGCAUCACAUGAUGUGCGCCCCGAUGGGAUUAGCUAGUGGGUGGGGUAAUGGCACACCUAGGCGACGAUCCCUAGCUGGUCUGAGAGGAUGACCAGCCACACUGGAACUGAGACACGGUCCAGACUCCUACGGGAGGCAGCAGUGGGGAAUAUUGCACAAUGGGCGCAAGCCUGAUGCAGCCAUGCCGCGUGUAUGAAGAAGGCCUUCGGGUUGUAAAGCACUUUCAGCGAGGAGGCGUUACUCGCAGAAGAAGCACCGGCUAACUCCGUGCCAGCAGCCGCGGUAAUAC
rnacentral:rRNA from 1 species